rnacentral:rRNA from 1 species
GAUAUAAGCCAUGUGAGUCUUUGUAGUAAUACAAGGCAGACGGCUCAGUAACGCGUAGUCAACUUACCCUAUGGACGGGGAUAAUCUCGGGAAACUGAGGAUAAUACCCGACAGACCAUCAUUCCUGGAACGGUUGAUGGUUAAAAUGAUUCGUCGCCGUAGGAUGGGACUGCGACUUAUCAGCUUGUUGGUGGGGUAAGGCCCACCAAGGCGAUUACAGGUACGGGCUCUGAGAGGAGAAGCCCGGAGAUGGGUACUGAGAUACGGACCCAGGCCCUAUGGGGCGCAGCAGGCGAGAAAACUUUGCAAUGUGCGAAAGCACGACAAGGUUAAUCCGAGUGAUUUCUGCUAAAGGAAUCUUUUGCCAGUUCUAAAAAUACUAGUGAAUAAGGGGUGGGCAAGUUCUGGUGUCAGCCGCCGCGGUAAAACCAGCACCUCAAGUGGUCAGGAGGAUUAUUGGGCCUAAAGCAUCCGUAGCCUGCUCUGUAAGUUUUCGGUUAAAUCUAUAUGCUCAACGUAUAGGCCGCCGAAAAUACUGCAGUGCUAGGGAGUGGGAGAGGUAGACGGUACUCGGUAGGAAGGGGUAAAAUCCUUUGAUCUAUCGAUGACCACCUGUGGCGAAGGCGGUC